rnacentral:rRNA from 1 species
ACGAACGCUGGAGGCAGGCUUCACACAUGCAAGUCGAGCGCCUCGCAAGAGGAGCGGCAGACGGGUGAGUAACGCGUGGGAAUCUACCCAUCUGUUCGGAACAACUCCGGGAAACUGGAGCUAAUACCGUAUAAGUCCUUCGGGAGAAAGAUUUAUCGGAGAUGGAUGAGCCCGCGUUGGAUUAGCUAGUUGGUGGGGUAAUGGCUUACCAAGGCGACGAUCCAUAGCUG